GGUUAAUCUGUCUCUGCUUGAAAUCUGGUUUUUUAGGUGAAAUCUGUUCUGUUGUAUCUAUUUAUCAUGUUUUUUUCUCAGACCUUUUCAGUUCAAAAAGCAGUGAAGAUUUUGAAACUUAUUUUACACUUUUAUAAUGGUUAAAUCACCAAAGAUAUUGUGCAAUAUAUAUAGAAUAAGUGAUCUUAGAAAGAACUGAUCUUAGAAUAUAUUUAUAGGUAAUAGGAUUUUAAAGAAUUUCUGAGGCAUUUUGGAGGAGAUAUAUAUAUAUAUAUAUAUACAAAGGUACCAUCUAAAACGGUUUUGAGAAAUUUGAUAAUUUUUUUUUCAUUAGUGUGAAUUAUUCCAAACUACACAAAAGGACUAGAUGAAGUCUGCUUAGGCAUUCAUUAAAAUUACUGCAUCACACAUACCAACUGAAAUGAUUGAAACCUUUCAAAGCUCAUGCUUACAGUAAGUGGAGAAAACACACAUUAUUAUCUAUCUUCUGCACGGGACAUGAAGACAUGAAAAUCAAGGUUAAAUUCAUUAGAAUGAACUUAAUUCCUGAAAAAAGUUAAUAAAUUAAUUAGGUAAGGGGGAGAAGUAUGGCUAAGACUGGAAUACGCUGUUUUUGAGCAUGUGUAACUUCAAGCUAAAGAAUGCUUCGUUAAGAAUAAACAUCUUUCCCCUCUGUCGAAUACCUCUUUUUUUUUCAGUUUUUGUCAUGAUCUUCACUCAUGGUGAUGCUAAAGAAAAGGCAUAUUGGAGAAAUGAAUGGAAAUUAGGAUUGCUUAAGAAGACCAUAUGGAGAUGCAUAAAAUCAGAAGAUGACGUAUGUUCUGUGUACUUUGUAAACAUCCAGAGGAGCUGAUUUUACUGUGAUAUCUACAACUAUCAGGGCAGCAUUAACUCUUCAUUCACAAUCAGAAUUACUCAUUUUAAUAUUAAUGUUUUGGCUUGUGGCCUGCCAUGUGAAAAAAAAUGAACCAUUGUUACUCAGUAAAGUCAAACUUGAGGAUGGUGGUCAGAGAACCUUCCUUGUCCUAUUUACUCAAAGCCUCAAAAACAAAGUAGACAUGAAAUUCAUCAUAUGAAAAAAGCCAGUGCUCAGACAUGUAUCAUAAAUUUGAAGAAUAAAUUAUUAUUCUUCACUCA
rnacentral:lncRNA from 1 species